GUGAUUUCAGAGUGAUCAGGGAAAUUCUCUCAGAGGACAGGAGAUGUAAGUGAUGAUACCUGAAGGGUGAUAAGGGUCCAGCCAGGUAAAGAUCUGGGACAGAACCUUCUAGGCAGAGAGGACUGCAAAAGCAAAUGCCCUGAGGCAUGAAUGGUCUUGGGAGUUCAAGGAACCAAAGGAAAGGCAGGGUAGAGCUCUGUGACUGGGAGUAGGAAGAAUGAUGGGAGAGGCCAGGAAGGGCCUGCCCCGGUGCUGGAGUGCAGAGGUUAAGCGGCUUGGUCUAGUGGGGCAUCAUUGCUCCUCACAGGGCAGGUGGUGUGUGAGUUGGGUCUUGAGGGAUAAAAAGUGCACGUGGGUCAAGUGGGUUUAUAGUGAUGUAGGGGUCAUGGGAGGCUCGGGUUGGAGGCAAGGAAGGACAGUGAUAAACAUUACUCACGUUCGUUUAUUCCUAAUCGUGUUCCAGGCACAGUGCUACAUGCCUCAUCACAGUCAACCCUUAUAAUCUCUUUGUUAGUUGGCUGGCCACAACAGGAGGGUUAAGGCAGAGAUUCUUCAGCCAGAAUUUAAAAAUCAGCAUCUGAAGGCCAAGGGUGGACAUGUGUACAAGUGCCAGUGGAAAAUGGCUUUUCUGGAAUAUCAGGUUUGGUCCUAAGAGACUAAGGGCACUCCACGUGGUGAGCAAUAAAUCUGGAUUCUGCUGUGUUUAAUUAAGCGUGUCACCAGCAUGGAAUGCGACCAUGGAUUGGCCUGUGACGAGCCUCCUUCUCCUAGAGAGAGAAGUUCUAGCCUCGUCUUCUGCUCCUGUGGAGUUUUCCAUUGCUUGGAAAUGGUUUGUAAGGUGAUGGAGUCCCAUGGAUGCCAGCUGGCAAAGGAAGAUCAGAGAAGGAGGAGAAGUUGAGUCAGUGGAGGGGAAAGAUUGCUGGAUGAUAUUUUCUUCACAGCUGUAGUGUCAAUAAAUAAAGACUUUGAUCACCCAUAAAGACCAAGGUUCCACGCUCCUGCCCUCUUUCUGCAAGUUAAUUGAUAAAUGUUAAGAGAAUGAUGUAGUGUCUUCUUACUAAUCCCUGAAAAGACUCUCUGAACACAGCAAUAUCAUCAUCAAGUGAACUUCACAAAUCCUAGGACAAAAGAGAGCUGAUAGCCAUGUCACACGUGCCUGAAUUUCCUGCACAGGUUUCUUGUUAUGUGGCAGCCCAAUCUAUGCCUGACCAUGUCCAGAGAACGGAAAUGCACCCUCUCAAAGGGAAGCCCAUUCCACCUCUGGAGAAUUCAAGUUAUUGAAAGGGUCUUGCUUAUAUUAUUG
rnacentral:lncRNA from 1 species